AGAGAGAAGAGAAGAGAAGAGAAACUCAUGAAGGAGAAAGGUAAAGGGUGGGAAAGAGGAGGCGCGAGAGAUCGGUGGAAGGGUCAUUGGUUGUUCGUUGCACACUCUCAACGUAUGGGAAUCGUUAUGGACCGACUAUAGUCGUUGGAAUGCGUUCUUUUUUCCUUUUUGUGUCCCCCCGCGGUAUACCUAGCGGCAGCCUGCUCUCGCUCCGUUGCAGCGGCGACGUUGGCGAUGACGGUGGCGAUCCUCCUUUGCCGGACAAUCUUGGCGAACAGACCGAACGAGAAGAAGCCGGCUUCAAAUAUUCCUGCCGCCUGUUCAACCAUCGAACAUCUUACAACCAGUGUACCUUGAAAAGUUACCAUCCAGGGAUCGUGCUACCGUCCAGGCUACUCCAAAAAAUUACCGAUCAUGUUGUACAGGAACACGAUCGAUGCCAGAGAAGCGUGGAACGAAUGAAAUCAAGUACAUAUCAGACGCUUCGAAGAAAAGAAGAAAAGAUGGAUGCCGAACUACCGUCGAAACCAUGGAUGCUCGGGGGACAAAGGGUCAAAAAGCAGAAACUUGCCGAUCGAUGUGUUUCCUCUCGAAGCGGAAAACAAGUGGAGAAAAUACGAGAUGGCGAAGAAGAGGAGCCGGUACGCCGCGCCAGUACGCCGGUACCAAGGUAGACGCGAUAAAGAACGAAUCGACCAGGUAGAAGAACAGAGAGGGUUCGGUAAUGCUCUCAGAGAGAGAGAAACGGAGAGCCAGUCGAACAAGACCGACCAAAGAAGGAAAGAAAAAGAAAGCAGUGGGAGAGAGAGAGAGAGAGAGAGAGAGAGAGAGAGGAGCAGAGGACGAUACAAGACAUGGACGUAGGUAGAAGGACAGGUAGUCGACUCGAGGAAAGAACAGCAGCCGUGGAGAGGGGAAAAAGAGAAGAGGAAUGGAGGGGUGCAUGAUGGAGGAGAGAAGAGAGGAGAGGAGAGACUCGAUUCCUCUCUCGUAUGUAUGCCGGCACGGCGCGACGGUUCGGUUUCGGUGACGUCACGACGUCGAUUUGAACGAACCAAUGGGCGCUGGAAACGAGGCCGAAGAAGCAAAAGGAAAGGUGGUAGGGAGUGGAGGGGCCCAAAGCGGCAGCUUUGCUCUCCGAGGGUGAGGAAGGGGUAACCGCGAAAGGUGCGUGCGGCCCCGGACGUGGGGCGCGGGGCCAGUUGAUCAGUGAGUGCGGUAGUGAUCUCAUCUCGUACCGCGCCAGGUGUGACUCUUCUCUCUUUCCUACUCUUUCGGUCCCGGGCCUCUGUGCGCCGUUGGUAAGACGGAGGAAACAGUAAAGGACUUAAAAUUCACCUAUCGACUCGGCCGUGUUCUACACUACGAUCAACAGGCUGCUAACGACACGUGUACCUCGCUAUUCCACAACGAGGAAAGAACGAUCAAGAAAAACGAUCCAUUCGUGAUCGACAAUUCAACGACUACGAUCACUGUACAGUAUCAUCUCGAUCAUCUGAGAUAAUAAUAUGGACAGAUCGUUCAAUUUUCAUUGCGUAGAGAAAGAAGCGAUUGUCUUUUAUAUUUUUAGGUGAUGUACCAAGUAUUCCUUCCUGCCAGGAAUCCUUAACCUCUUAACUUAAAAGCUCGAGAAUAAUCGGGCAAAAUACACUUGUUAUAAUAUAAUUAUUAAGUUAAGAGGUUAAAACUCAAAAGCAAAAUCCAUCGUUUCAUCGGAUAAUAUGGAAUUGCAGUUGAACGAGACUUGGAUAAUCGAGACUAUACUGUGUAUAGUUUAUAGUAUAUAGCAAAUUUUUUGAUGAUUCAAGAUUCUCGGUAAAAGUAUUUCUGAUAGGUGACGAGAGGAUCUUGGCGCGGACAUUUUCUUUGGUUAUCUAGCUGUAUGAGUAUUAUUCGACAUCAUAAAGCUAGGUUACCGGAGUUAAGCUCCUCGCCAUAUCAACUCCAGCGAUCUUCUCCCAUGUAUUUCAGUACUGCCGCUGCAACGACACGUCCGACGUGUUUCGAAAGUUACUUCGAAACGGGGUACCAUUUGUAGCCGUGAACCAGAUUGUACAUGGUUUAUCCGUGAAAUCGAUUUAUGUAACGCUGUAAUAAUUUUCUAUGACACUCUGAUGGAAAUAAAGUACCUAUAUAUGAUCAUUUAUGUACUGUCUAUGUAUAUUAUUCGUUUAUUGUAAAACGAAUAAAAAUGAAUCAUUUCAAA